rnacentral:rRNA from 1 species
AUGAACGCUAGCUACAGGCUUAACACAUGCAAGUCGAGGGGCAGCAUGGUCUUAGCUUGCUAAGGCCGAUGGCGACCGGCGCACGGGUGAGUAACACGUAUCCAACCUGCCGUCUACUCUUGGACAGCCUUCUGAAAGGAAGAUUAAUACAAGAUGGCAUCAUGAGUCCACAUGUUCACAUGAUUAAAGGUAUUCCGGUAGACGAUGGGGAUGCGUUCCAUUAGAUAGUAGGCGGGGUAACGGCCCACCUAGUCUUCGAUGGAUAGGGGUUCUGAGAGGAAGGUCCCCCACAUUGGAACUGAGACACGGUCCAAACUCCUACGGGAGGCAGCAGUGAGGAAUAUUGGUCAAUGGGCGAGAGCCUGAACCAGCCAAGUAGCGUGAAGGAUGACUGCCCUAUGGGUUGUAAACUUCUUUUAUAAAGGAAUAAAGUCGGGUAUGCAUACCCGUUUGCAUGUACUUUAUGAAUAAGGAUCGGCUAACUCCGUGCCAGCAGCCGCGGUAAUACGGAGGAUCCGAGCGUUAUCCGGAUUUAUUGGGUUUAAAGGGAGCGUAGAUGGAUGUUUAAGUCAGUUGUGAAAGUUUGCGGCUCAACCGUAAAAUUGCAGUUGAUACUGGAUGUCUUGAGUGCAGUUGAGGCAGGCGGAAUUCGUGGUGUAGCGGUGAAAUGCUUAGAUAUCACGAAGAACUCCGAUUGCGAAGGCAGCCUGCUAAGCUGCAACUGACAUUGAGGCUCGAAAGUGUGGGUAUCAAACAGGAUUAGAUACCCUGGUAGUCCACACGGUAAACGAUGAAUACUCGCUGUUUGCGAUAUACUGCAAGCGGCCAAGCGAAAGCGUUAAGUAUUCCACCUGGGGAGUACGCCGGCAACGGUGAAACUCAAAGGAAUUGACGGGGGCCCGCACAAGCGGAGGAACAUGUGGUUUAAUUCGAUGAUACGCGAGGAACCUUACCCGGGCUUAAAUUGCAGAUGAAUUACGGUGAAAGCCGUAAGCCGCAAGGCAUCUGUGAAGGUGCUGCAUGGUUGUCGUCAGCUCGUGCCGUGAGGUGUCGGCUUAAGUGCCAUAACGAGCGCAACCCUUGUUGUCAGUUACUAACAGGUUCUGCUGAGGACUCUGACAAGACUGCCAUCGUAAGAUGUGAGGAAGGUGGGGAUGACGUCAAAUCAGCACGGCCCUUACGUCCGGGGCUACACACGUGUUACAAUGGGGGGUACAGAGGGCCGCUACCACGCGAGUGGAUGCCAAUCCCAAAAACCUCUCUCAGUUCGGACUGGAGUCUGCAACCCGACUCCACGAAGCUGGAUUCGCUAGUAAUCGCGCAUCAGCCACGGCGCGGUGAAUACGUUCCCGGGCCUUGUACACACCGCCCGUCAAGCCAUGGGAGCCGGGGGUACCUGAAGUGCGUAACCGCGAGGAGCGCCCUAGGGUAAAACUGGUGACUGGGGCU